UACGUAGGGUGCAAGCGUUAAUCGGAAUUACUGGGCGUAAAGCGUGCGCAGGCGGUUUUGUAAGUCUGACGUGAAAUCCCCGGGCUUAACCUGGGAACUGCAUUUGUGACUGCAUGGCUGGAGUGCGGCAGAGGGGGAUGGAAUUCCGCGUGUAGCAGUGAAAUGCGUAGAUAUGCGGAGGAACACCGAUGGCGAAGGCAAUUCCCUGGGCCUGCACUGACGCUCAUGCACGAAAGCGUGGGGAGCAAACAGG
rnacentral:rRNA from 1 species